rnacentral:rRNA from 1 species
CUAAGAAUAUUCCGCAAUGGACGGAAGUCUGACGGAGCGACGCCGCGUGGAUGACGAAGGCCGAAAGGUUGUAAAGUUCUUUUGCUGGGGAAGAAUAACCGCAGGGGGGAAUGCCUGUGGGAUGACAAGAACCGGCGAAUAAGCCCCGGCCAACUACGUGCCAGCAGCCGCGGUAACACGUAGGGGGCGAGCGUUGUUCGGAAUUACUGGGCGUAAAGGGCAUGUAGGCGGCUUGGAAAGCCUGGCGUGAAAGUCUGCAGCUUAACUGCAGGGGUGCGCUGGGAACUGCUGAGCUUGAGUGACGGAGAGGGAGCUGGAAUUCCUGGUGUAGGGGUGAAAUCUGUAGAUAUCAGGAAGAACACCGAUGGCGAAGGCAAGCUCCUGGCCGAUGACUGACGCUGAGGUGCGAAAGUGUGGGGAUCAAACAGGAUUAGAUACCCUGGUAGUCCACACAGUCAACGAUGUGCACUAGGUGCUGGGGCGGUAGCUUCGGUGCCGGAGCGAACGUGGUAAGUGCACCGCCU